UUAACUUUGAGACUUCCGUCUCAAAACAGUUCUUCGAAAUCAAAAAAGAUAUACUAACCCCUAAACUGCUCACCGAUAACCUCUAUUAGUCUCUGACCACGGAUGGUGAACCAAAACGGUGGAAAAAACGUAGUAUCUCCAUGUUCUUUCUUCUUUGCUACGAUUCUUGCCGAAAAGAAUAAAUAACCAAAACCUAUUGGGAUUUUUAUAAGGUGAUUUUUUUUUGGAGUUAGUAUAUUCUGAUUGCUAGAUCGACCCUUCAGAUUAUUGCAGUAACACUGUCUUUGAGGAUGCCACACCCGAAUUGGUUAGGCACUUCUUCUGGGAUGAAGAUUUCCGGUCCAAUCAGGAUGCAAUAUUAUGCUCAUACAUUCUAAGACGCAAGAGGAAUGUCCUACCGAAGGAACUAUGGUAGUCCAUUGGACACAUAAGAGUUGGUGAUUAUCUUAUGCUCUUCAUACUUUAUGGACUAGGCUUGACUCAUCUUCUUAGUAGUUCAUUUUGGUGAUAGUAUUCUUCUAAAUUCUAUAUUUGGUAAAGUUUUUCUUCCUCUACAACGACAGAGAAUACAUAAUAGACGAAUAUGGAAAGCAGGAAGACCAUAUUGGUGUCGCUAAGGUAUGGUGGAAACAUACAACUAUUUUGUUGUUGCAGAGCCUGCAGUUUGAUGUCAUCAAAUGUUGAGAAUUUUAUGCCUAUAUAUAUGCUAUUCUUUGGAGCAAAAAAAAUAUUAAUCAUCAAAGUUAUGUAUACUAAACAACAUAGUUACGAACCUUGACAGAAUGCAUUCAUUUUUCAUGCAUAUAAAGGGAACGAUGGUGCUGUGGCAGAAAGAACAUAGUUUAAUUUCAUUGCUUGACAUGGUUCUUCAUUUUUAUUUUUUUUAUUUUGACAUGUUUAAUUUGUUUUUACAGUAAAGUUUCAUGGUUUGGUUUGGUCCAUUAAUGGUAGUGUGUCUGACUUCGAGUCAGAAGGUUGUGUGUUCGAAACACACCAGAUUCAAUGGUAACCAUUUCGUUAUUUGCAUCCUUUGGACUAGCUUGCAAGUAGUAAUAGAAAUACCACGUAGAGUUGAUAUGGAUGAUUGAACUGUGUCGCAUCAGAUGAAAUGAUUCCAUGUCUAUAAACACCACGCAUACAUGCCAAACCACCAGUAUCAAUAAAUCUACAUUUAACUGGAGGAAGAAGUGGUGACCUUCUCAUGGUUGCAUUUGGUUGGGUUGGCAACUCCAUUUUUCCGCACAGUGGCAAGUGUGGAGCCAGGCACAAGCAUUAGCUGCUUUAUAAAUCACAUGGAAUUCAACAUAGAGAAUAGUCAAACUCAUGGUUAUGCCUACUGCACUCAUGAAGAACAACGGAAGCUGCGAUUGAACCUCGACUUAGAAUCAGGAAUGUGCUGUAAUUUUGCGUAUGACUGUUCAACAAAUUGAUUUGGAACAAGGUUUCUUCAUGUUUAAACGAAAAAAAUAGAGAGAAGACUCUCUUGACUACUUUAGUGAUUAGUGUGAAACUUUUGUAUAUUCCCCUUUUCGUUAAGAAUGACUCAAUAGCGAUAAUUUAGCUUUUUCUUUGUUCCA